GUGUGAAAUCAUACUAGCACUAAUGCACUACAUCCCAUCAGAAUUCCACAGUUAAAGGUGCUUGCUAGAGUAGUACUAGGAUGGGUGACCUCUUGGGAAGUCCUCAUGUUGCACCUC
rfam:Lupinus angustifolius cultivar Tanjil contig_40848, whole genome shotgun sequence.